CCUUUCUGACUCCUGCUCAGAUCCGGUUAUCACCCAGCAGGCCCCUAGAACCCCCAGAACCCUAGACCUCAGGCUGGGGUAGGUUCUUCCCAGCACAGCCACUCCACGAGCUUCUGGAAAUUCCAUGUCUCCCAGCUGUGCAAGGCAACCCUAGUGUUGUUGAGGAAAAGCCUAAAGAAGACCAUCCAUCGUGUUGAGCGCAGGGAAGUGCCGAAUGCUACGUAGGCUUGGGCAUUCUCAAUAGUUCAAGGCCCACAUUACAACUUCCAAGAGAAGGGUGGUGGAUGGCUCACAAACCAGCAAUGGUCAAGGGCCAUUUCCUUCUCUGGUCCUGGCCUAGAGACUUCCUGGGGACUCACAGAAAAAAUGCUACCAAAUCCUGAACUCUACCCAGCUCUUCUCCCUUCCUGGGGGAACAACCAUGUGGACUUCCAAUAAGAACACGAGCUUAAAGAACGAGUUAUUCCUUCUGACCCAAGUAAAGCACAUGGCCCAUUUCCUGUUCACCAGAGAACUUCAUUAGAGGGAAACUGCAGACAUAGCAUUCAAUUAUAAAAACCUAUUCAGAUUU
rnacentral:lncRNA from 1 species